rnacentral:rRNA from 1 species
GCCCGCUCAGAAACUCAAAGGAAUUGACGGGGCCCGCACAAGCGGUGGAGCAUGUGGUUAAUUCGAUGAUACGCGAGGAACCUUACCUGGGCUCAAAUGUAUGUUGACGUAUUCUGAAAGGGAUACUUCUUCGGACAAUAUACAAGGUGCUGCAUGGUUGUCGUCAGCUCGUGCCGUGAGGUGUCGGGUUAAGUCCCAUAACGAGCGCAACCCUCAUCAUUAGUUACCAUCAGGUCAAGCUGGGGACUCUAAUGAGACUGCCAUCGUAAGAUGCGAGGAAGGUGGGGAUGACGUCAAAUCAGCACGGCCCUUACGUCCGGGGCGACACACGUGUUACAAUGGGUGGUACAAAGGGCAGCUACCUGGCGACAGGAUGCUAAUCUCCAAAACCGCUCUCAGUUCGGAUCGGAGUCUGCAACUCGACUCCGUGAAGCUGGAUUCGCUAGUAAUCGCGCAUCAGCCACGGCGCGGUGAAUACGUUCCCGGGCCUU